UACGGGGGGGCAAGCGUUGUUCGGAAUUACUGGGCGUAAAGGGCGCGUAGGCGGUUCGCUAAGUUGAAUGUGAAAACUCUGGGCUUAACCCAGAGCCUGCAUUCAAUACUGGCGGGCUAGAGUUCUGGAGGGGAUAGCGGAAUUCCUGGUGUAGCGGUGGAAAUGCGUAGAUAUCAGGAGGAACACCGGUGGCGAAGGCGGCUAUCUGGACAGAGUCUGACGCUGAUGCGCGAAAGGCGUGGGGAGCGAUCCGG
rnacentral:rRNA from 1 species